UGACCGUUAACUCAACUGGAUAAGAGUACCGAGCUUUUACCUCGUAGGUUCUGGGUUCGAAUCCCAGACGGUCAACCA
rnacentral:tRNA from 4 species